CGAACCCGCACACCCCGUCGUCAACACCCGGUUCCGUAUAGCCAAGCUCACUACUUUUAAGUAUUGAGUGUAGUUGAUCUAUCGGCCGUUUUCCCGUGUGCGUUUCUUAUUAUUUUUUUUCCACUUUUUCAAUACGCGAUUCCCCCCCCUCAUGCACUUCCUACCAUCAUAAUCCGUUGUGUCUGCCGUCGCCGCUCAAAUCACCAACCAUUGCCCCGCGAAAACAAAACCGUUUCGUCGCGCGCACGACAACCAACGCCGUCACCCUCAUCAUCCCCGAUAAAGGUCUGUUGUCGUCGUCGCCGCCGGUGAAACAGGACCAAAGCAAUAGUAAUAGCAGCAGUAGAAGUAGCAGUAGCAGCGGCAGUACCAGUGGUUGUAACAGCAACUAUACCAACAAUAACAACAACAAUAACGACAAUAACAACAGUAGCAGCACCACCAGUAGCCGUCGCCGCCGCCGCCUCCUCCUCCAUACGCCAUAUACGAUUAACGCCGCGCCGACUUCAGCAGCGGCAGCAGCAACAGCUAUAACAACAACAGCAGUAUCCUCGACAGACGCCGAAAUGGAGCCCCAAGACACGAGCAUGACGAACCUGAUAAUCAACUAUCUACCACAGUCGAUGACCGAUAAAAAACUGCACCAAAUGUUCACCCAGAUCGGACAAAUCGAAGCGUGUCGGGUUAUGAAAGACGUCAAAACUGGUUAUAGUUUUGGUUUUGGUUUUGUCAACUUUGUUCGUCCUGAAGAUGCUUCUAGAGCUAUUGAGGUAAUGAAUGGUCUCCAAGUUGAAAAUAAACGUUUAAAAGUAUCUUAUGCUCGUCCUGCUGGAGAAGAUAUCAAAGAUACAAACCUUUAUGUUCAAAAUUUACCAAGAUCAAUAACAGAAAGAGAACUUGAAGAUCUAUUUGCUCCUUAUGGCCAAAUUGUUCAAAAAAAUAUACUUAAAGACAAAUAUAGUGGACUUCCUAGAGGAGUAGCUUUUGUUCGUUAUAACAAAAAAGAAGAUGCCCAAAAAGCAAUUAUUCAGCUAAACGGUGUUUUGUUGGAAGGAUGCACAGAGCAUCUAUCAGUGAAAAUAGCAGAGGAACAUGGCAAACAAAAGGCAGCUUAUUUGGCCGGUCUGCAAACUGGUUUAGCGCACAGAGGUACAAAUGACACCCUCACAUACUUAAGCUACUAGAUAACAAAAGAAAAAAGAAAAAAACCUAAAAAUUUCCCUCCCCCCCAAUCAAUAAUCUGUUUCAAUGUCUUCGAAGUUACAUGUCAUAGAUCAGAAACAAAAUGUAAUACCUUGAAUUCUGGCGCUACGAUUUUCUGGGCUAAAAAUCUACAAAAUAUGCAUCAAUUAAUCAGAGCUAAUCAUGUUAUUGACAAGUAUCCCAAUCCAUUGUUGCAGCAUGUUGAAAGACAUACUAUUGGUGCUAUGCGCCAAGAUAGGGCUAGUUACCGCCAUACACCAGUUGGUUUGUUUCCACCGCCACAUGGCUACAAUGUUGGAAUCGGCAAUGGGAACAUUUAUUAAUGUGCAUCACUUUCUGAUAAUAUUUUUGUACAAAAUUUAAGGUUUUUUUCUUUUUAAUGUAAAUUAAAUUAAUAUAAUUUAUAUAUAUAUAUAUAUAUAUAUAAUAUAACUUAUCUCCAUAAUUUAAAAUUGCUCGAUACAUUUAUGAAAUGAAAACAAAAAAAAAUUGUUGUAGAUUUCUUUUAUAUUUAGUAUAGUAUCUAUAUUGUAUUGUAAAUAAUUUCAAGUAACAAAUAAAGUUUAUGUUUAUGAUUCUUUGGAGUAUUGAAAAAAACUCAUAAAUUUAAUUUUGAUAUUAUUAUUAUUAUUUUAUAUAAUAAUUAAUUAUCUUAAUUAGUAUAAAAUAUAAGUAUGCAUGUGUGCCUAUAUUUCAUGUUUUUCUACUGUAAUGUUUUUUAAAUAAAAUAACUUGUCUGUAUAUACAAUACUGAUCACUGAAGUCUUUAAAAAUUAAUAUUUUCCACACAAUUUAUAAUACUAUCUUUGAAUUAAUAUAUAUAUAUUUUUCUUUUUUAAUGUUGUUAAUAUGUUAGAAUUUUUUUUUCGUUCAUUUAAUACAAUAUAAAUUAAUUUAUGUGUAAUUAAAGUUAAAUUGUUUUUUUUUCUAAUUUUAUUUUUAUUUAUUAUUUGAUUGAUUUACAAGCUGUGUUGGGUAUUUGUUUCUUUUCUCAAGCACAGUAGAUUUUUAAUUUUUUUUUUAUUUUAGUAUAUAAAUAUAAUUUAUAGAAUUAAGUUGUAAUAUUAAAAAUAAUAAGCAGGGAGGAUACAUAUCUAUAAAAAUAAACAUAAUUCUUAACCUUAAGUAAGUCAUAAAAAAAAGAAAAACUUAAUCGUUGAACAUUAUAAAAAUAAAAUUGACUUCCCCUGUUUGAUGUGUAGAUUAACCUAUUAUUUUUCAUACAUUAUUUGAUGAGACUGUUUUUAACUAUUUUUUUUUACGAUGGUUUACUUUAUGCUAUUAUAAUUUUAUAUUAAAUAUAUUUAUGUUGUGAACCAUAACAUUAUAUAUAAAUUAUUUGAAGGAGCCCUUUAUAUAUGUAAACAUUACUUAUUUUGGAGUAUUAACUCAGUUUUUUUUUUAAUUUCUAUACAAUUUUAUUUUUGUAACUCCAUGAAUUCCAUAAUAUGAUAAACAAAAGAAAACCAUAAGUUUUAAUAUGUGAGGUAAAAUAAGAUUGAAGAAGAUUGUGUAAAACUACAGAUAUUGAUUUUAUAAAAUAGAAUAUUAUAAUAGAUUACAAAAUUGCUAUAACGUGCCUCCGUGUAUGUAUAUACUGUUUAUAGUUUAAAAAAAAAGGAUGGGUAAGUGGGUACUGCUCUGCUGUAUAGUCGGGGGCACGUAUUUAAAGGAUGGGUCCAUGUCGAUGGGGUGUCUGGACCUUUUGAAAUUUUUCCGUACCGGCAUAUAAAAUCGUAAUCCUUUAUAAUGUAUAUCGAAUUAAAAUACUUUGUUAUUAAAUACCUACUGUUAUUUAAAAAUA